CUCAAAAUCAAUGAAAUAACCGAGGUGAUCUGAAUGUUCCGUGAUGAUGCUGAAUGCAGCAAAAAUGGCUGAAUAUUGGACGAAAUGCGUUGUCGGACACUUGCAUGGCUGCGGUUCACAGUUUUACAACAAUCAGAACACCUCGGAGAUGGCCUAGAUGUUACGAUUGUAUUAACGAGGAUUAACUCGAAGCUUGCCGGAGAUUGCUGAGUCGUUAGGAUUGGCAUAAUUGUUGUCUGUGUUAGUCAAGUUUCGUUUUAUUGGAAAGGUGUCUUGAGCCAUCCUUGGAGGCAGCCCAAGUAACAACAUGAGCAACAUGUAAAUGAUUGUACUGUGCAGUACCAGGGAAUAGAAGUCUGCAGCUAAAAAGAUACAAAAUGAAGAGAAGGGCAUUAGCAGCUGGCAAAGGUUUAGGCCCUGCAGCACCCGAAACCCCUUAAACUGAAGAUGAAGCCUUUGUUGCUGUGAAGGCCAAUGUGAAACCCCGGACAAAUGAUGAAGACCCAAUAACCAAGAGAGGCAACUACAGCUGUUGGUGAAGAAUAGUGACGAGGGAUCCAUUCAAUCUGCUUAUUGCAGUUGCAAAGGAGGUGUCUACGUCUCACUAACAUGCGGGGUACUGGACACAAUUUCUCACAUACUCAGAAGAGUUUGCAGCCAGUCUGGAGAUUGAACCUAGGACCUCCUUUGUGCACAAAAAAUGCUAUACCAACUGAGCUAACCAGCCCUGGAUAACUUGUAUUCUUUGAUCUCAUUGAUGGAUGCUGUAGACAUGUUGUGGCAACCCUCUUCGAAGUCCUUGACUUUGUAUAAGACUUCAAGAAGACCAGCUGCACUUCAGGUUCAUGAAUGUGGGUUCGGCAUGCUUCUCAGGCCAAUCAACUUGGCAAACCUAUCCCUGCUUCACAACUUGAGACUUCAAUUAUGGCGGAGCCCAGCACACAGACAGCAAUGCCACUGUAUUCGCCAUUGUCUGACGAGUAUCCAGUGCCUGAUCCAAAAAAUUUCCUUGAAAAAGUGAAAAGUCUUCAGCCAACAGCCUGCGGAUUACGUGCCCUGAAAAGGACUAUUAACUGCAUCCAAUUUUCAUAAAAUAACACAUUCACAGGCUUUGCCUUAAAAAAAAUUCAGCACUUGUCCUUUUGGGCAAGUAAUAGAAGAAAACCACUUGCCCAAAAACAGUUUUACUUGCCCAAAAUAAUUUAAAAAAAAAUAAAACAAAAAAACACUAAUAAGAGAAGUAUUUAAUUAAUAAGCGUCCAAGUGUCUGGCAGACGCUUAGGCACUUAUAAAUUGAAUACUACGAAUGCUGAGCAUAUGGAAUGCUGUGACGUCACCAAUUCAUGCAUAAAUAUACGAAAGCUAAUAUUUAGAACGUUCAUUUAGGUUUUUUGAAUUGUUGCUGAAGAAAUUAUGAAAACAGGGAUUUAAAUUUCGGAAAAAUGCACUUGCCCGUUCGGGCAACCACCUAGGAAUUUUGACUCGUCCAAAACAGUAUUAACUUGUCCCCGACUUCGGGCAACCCAGUUACGAGGAAGACUGCAUUCAACUGAUUUACAUCAAACAGCAAUUGCUUUACAAAAAAAUUCAGUGUUUGCCGAAAACUCUAUACCAGACCCCAUAUUAUUUCGACAGUGAUUUGAAAAUAAAGCCCGUGACAUUUUUAUAAAGACACAUCUAGGUUUAAACAUAAACAUUGUUCUGUAAAAGUUCCUGGGCUAGUUGUUUCUAAUGAAGACCCAGUUUUAGCUUGUUCACCAGAUGGAAUAGUUGACUGCAAAAUAUGUGGGAAAUUUUUGAUUGAAAUAAAGUGUAUGUAUAAAUAUAAGUGUUUUUACCCUAAAAAUGCCUUGAAACUUUCAAAUGUCUGUGUUGAAGAUGAAAACAAUAAGUUAACAUUGAGGAGUUCACAUGCAUAUUUUGACCAAGUACAAGGACAGAUGGGAGUAACUGGCCUCACGAAAUAUGUGUUGGUUGGGUACACACACAAAGGCAUUUGUUCCUUAACUGUUGACUUUGAUGAAGCAUUUUGGAAUAAUUCUAAAAAUAAGUUGUUAAAUUUUUACACUGAUGCAUACUUUCCUCUUCUGAAAAACAUGCUAUACAAAUUGAAAGACAAAUACAUUGCCUGUGAUCAUGUCAUGUAGACAACAUUACAGUGCUAUUACAACUGUUAUUUUGAUAAAACUUUUUAACAUAAUUAUAUUUUUUGGAAUCUAGAACAUAUGUUAAAGAUUGUUGCUCUUGUGAGAUCAAUUUAUAUCUUUAAGGUAUACGGUGCACAAAUGGCAUUUCUGUAUUGUUCCAUCCAUUUCAUUUUGAUGCCUUGUGAUACCAUAUCAUAAUGCCCCCCUUCAAAGAAGAGGGAUAUAUUGCUUUGCACAUGUCGGUCGGUCGGUCGGUCCGUCAGUAGAACAAAGCUUGUCCGAGUGAUAACUCAACAAUUCCUGGAUAAAUGGUUAUCAAACUUGACAGGAAGGUUGGGCCUGACCAGUAGAUGACCCCUAUUGAUUUUAGGGCUCAUCGGGUCAUAGGUCAAGGUCACAGUGACCUUCAGUGGUAAAAUAAUUUUAAAGCUUGUCCGAGUGAUAACUCAACAAUGCCUAGACCUAUGGUCAUAAAACUUGAUAUGAAAGUUGGGCAUGACUAGUAGAUGACCCCUAUUGUUUUGGGGGGUCAUAGGGCUGAAGGUCAAGGUCACAGUGACCUUGAAUGGUAAAAGGUUGUCCGAGUGAUAACUUGACAAUGCUUGCACCCAUGGCCCUCAAAUUUGACUUGGAGGUUGGGCCUGACCAGUAGAUGACCUCUAUUGAUUUUAGGGGUCAAAGGUCAAGGUCACAGUGACCUUGAAAGUAAUUUCGACAAUUCCUGGACCUAUGGUCAUCAAACUUGACAUGAUAGUUGGGCCUGACCAGUAAAUGACCCCUAUUGAUUUUGGGGGUCAUUAGGCCAAAGGUCAAGGUCACAGUAACUUGACAAUGCUUGCACCCAUGGCCUUCAAACUUGACAUUAAGGUUCUUGGUGACAAGCUGAUGACUCCUAUAGAUUUUGAGGUCAAAGGUCAUGGUCAUAACGCACUCUAUCCUCACACUUUAAAUGGUCAUAAUUUUAAAACUGCCUCAACAGCAUCCAGUGUCAGUGACAAAUCAGCUGUCAUUUUGGUCCAUGCUUAUUUCAUUAAAUUGUGCAUAUAAUCCUGACAACAUGGCGUUCAGGGGGGGGGCAUAAUGUUUCACAAACAUCUCUUGUUUUAGUAUAAUUUGUACAUGCAAGUAUAUUGCUUUCCUGAUAUUUAUACAUGAAAACCAUCAAAGGCAAUAUAUCUACAAUUCAAUGUUAUGGUCAAAGGAAAACAACCACAAUUGCAAUAUGCUAGCCAGCUUUUAAUGACAAUGUUACACACUGACAAAGUUAUUGUUUGUUUUGUUCAAUAUUUCAAAUACAAUUGGAGCAAUCUUUAAAUUUAACAAAAAAUCAUAUUUGUAUUAAUAUUUUAGUGAAAAAACUUGCAUAUUCUUUCUCUACUCAAAUUGCCAUUGAAAAUGAUACAAACAUCUUAUAGAAUCACUAAGCACCAAGAAUCUCAUUAUUGUAUAUCUGGUGCCUUAAGAUGAUAUUGUGAAUUAUUUUAGUAGUCAGAAUUUGUCAUUUGCAUUUUAAAUUAUAAAAUUGCUACUGGUAAGCAGUCUUAAGUUCUUUGUUGAAUUGAUGAAGGUAACUGUUACUAAGUUUUUAUCAAAUACUGCAUUUGUAUAAUUGUGAUAAAAUAUAGUAUCUGAAUAUUAGCUUCAAAAUUUGUAUCCAGCUCUGUCAACAAUACUAUAAUGUUUGUUGGUUUAAAGUGUUAUUGAAUAACGUAUUCAUAUUGAAACAUAAAAGUCUCUUAAACAUAAAAGUCUCUUUCUGCAUGAGCUUUCGUACCAUAUUUGAUGUAUAAUAUUGUUCAAUGUUUGCAUCUGCUGUAUAUUCCAUCUAUCUUCUGAUAUGACAAAAAGCAAGUUAUUAAAUGAGGGAGUAAAUGA